GGUGCUGUGGUGUAGUCGGUUAUCACGUCAGUCUUACACGCUGAAGGUCCCCAGUUCGAACCUGGGCAGCACCA
rnacentral:tRNA from 1 species